AGUUUUGAGAUUAUGCUGUUGAUGUUCAGUUAAAAAACAUGCAGUUGACGUGAAUGAGCCCUGCAUUUCAAAUAUUUUAGUUUGAGAAGGUCUUCAAGCUAAAAUAUUUAAUGGCUUACAGUUUCAUGUAAACACUAACGUUUCACGUUCAAAUAACGUAUGCUUAGGCUACAUAUUAUAAUGUUAUAUUUUAUUAGGUAUUGUUUGUAACUGUCGCGAGUUGGAGGGAGAUCGGAUUUCUCAAGACCACGGGAUGUUUCAGAGGAAGUCUUUUAACAACUGGGAAAGAAAUAAGUAGCUGUUGGACAAAAUCAUUUAACAAUUAUCAUACAACGCUAUUAUACAGACAUGAAAACGUAAAACACCUGGUAAAGCCAUAUGUUUUAUCACUUGCCAUUUUGUGCUGCCUUUUUAUUUUCAAUUAUUUGUAAAAACAAAACAAAAAAAACCCAGUUUCAACAAUUAAAUUUUUCCUGAAGGUAUAUUGAUUCCAGCUUAUGACUAAUGCGAAGUUCUUUUCAAGUUAGAACAAAGAAAGUUGGUGGAAGAAGAAGAAGAAUCGUGAGUUCAUCUGAAAGGCAGUGGGUUUGUGUUUAGCUGAUCAAAAAGAAAACAUAAAGCAUAAUCAGAUUUAGAGGCUGAUAUAACAGACUCACUUGAUGAACAGAAUAUUGCAGAUAAAAACUCUUUUGUAGUUUUCUCCCUAACAACCAAUCAGAAGAACAGCAGCAGUGACUCAGACUACCCCGGCAGAAAUGCCAAACAAGCUUCGACACAUUCCCCUCGUCGCUCUCAGGUUCGCUCUCCGCUGACAGGAUCCAAAGCACCAGGCAGGGUUGGUGUCAGAUACGUUUACGGCCAGCAGUGUUCACGUGCGCAUUCGCAAACUGAAAUCUGUCAUUUUUAAUAUUUCUUGUGAAGUAAUUGUCUUCCUCCAGACAACCCACAGUCCUGCAGCUCCGUUUUUCUCUUCAAGACAUCUCGGCUGAUUUCUUUGGACUUUCCCACCGGUACAAAACAAACAAACAAACAAAAAAAAGCAUGGUGUUCUAGGUGUGGAAUUAAAACACAUCCACAGGUGUGACUCCAGCUAACUCAAAUGUGUUGACUAACCUGUUUAUCAUCAACAUCUGGAGUUUCCCUUAUUGUUUAAAGAGAUAGUAGAGUAGAAUAGAAAUAUCUUUUAUUGUCCCCACUUGGGAAAGUUCAGGUGCAACAGCAGCAAAGUGACACGCAAUUGAGUCUUGUAGCUUCACACAAAGAUAAAAGUAUAAAAAUACCAAGUAAUAUAUAUGUAUAAUUUGAAUAAAGGGUCAAGAGUUGCAUUAUUUUGACAUGGGAGGCUUGAGGGGAAGAAAGCAAGCAAGCUGUCAUGUUUGAUGUUUUAUGAAGAACCUUUGCACAAAGACCACACCUGAUAAGAGAAAGUACAUUAAUCGUCCCUCGCAGUAAUCAGACUUCAAAUGAGCAGAGAGAGAAUGGGGGGAAAGACAUAACAAAGGGGUCAAAGGUCAGGAUUUGAACCUCUGAUGGCUCAGUCAAAAGUAAUAUUUCUGUAUUUGAGGCACCAGCGUAGCCCCAGGUAACAGCCCCACUGGCACAAACAAAGCCUGGUUUUUGAAGUAAUGGUCUUUGUCUGUGGGAUUACACAGUUGGUGAGCUGAACUGAAUGUUCACUCUGUGUCCUAACGUGUCCUCGAUUAACCUUGAGCUUAACUUCUGCCUCAAGCCGGCCGGUGUUAUCUAAUGCCAGAAAACUCUGUCCCUCUGAAACUGUAACCAGACGGGUUCAAAACAGUAACAGUGUACAUGUGUUUGUGGUACAAAGGUCAGAAAAAAUAAAAAUAAUAAUCUGACCUGGUCACAUCACACAAAAAAUGUGGUGACAUCACAUUUUUGCAACUUAUGUGUGCUGAUCAGUGUUGAGUUAGUGCAAGGACAGGCAGACAGGUAGUGAUGGGUUAACCGAGAGGCACAGAACCAGUGCCAUGUGUGAAGCCCGAUCAAAGAAAUCAAACGUGGAUCAACUUGUUGCACACGAAGAAAGAAAUGAUGAGGACCAGUGCAGUGCUUUGGGAUUGAUGUAAAAUAAGACCAAAAAAAAAACAUAGAUGUUUAGAGACUAACCUUCACUAAAUAAUAUCUGAGGAAAUUGUAGCCAAAAGUUUGGAAAUGAUCAGUAUCGUCAUGGUGCGUCGUUGUGAGGAUCAGACCCAAAUGCAAGCAGAGGUGGCGAGUAGAUGGUGGAUAUUUAAUGAGAAAAUAACAAAACAAUGAGUUACAAAGCAACAGGGAGGACACGGGGAGCGAGAGCAGGAACAAACAGGAACCAGGUACAAGGAGGUAACAGAAAAAUCCAGUGAGGAAUGAAGGAGACUGGAACCGUCAGUGCUUGAACAAUGAAAUGGGACUGAUUGAUAACUGGGUGCAGCUGUGAGGGCGGAGGAGAAGGCAGGCCGAGGGAGAGAGAGGGGAAGAUGGCACAGUGGAGCCAGGAGAAGCUGGGAAAACAUGAAUAACUAUAACCAACAAUAACUAAACAAACACCAAAAAAGGCUGAUCAAAAGAAAAGACUGAAACUAAGGCUAAACAGGGUUAAACAACGCAGUUGGACAAGCAAACAGAACUCAUACUUUAAAUAUACGUACCUAGUUUUGUUCAGAAUCUUCACUCUGUAAUCUUGGACCCAAAGUUAACACCAAAGUUAACUGUAGUGUUAGACUACAGUUAAACCCUCCUGUGGUCCGGAGCCCAAAGAGUUAACUGCUCUGGAUUAAGAAGAAAAAUCCCUGCUCAACCUCAGAGACAACAUCUGGCCAGACAGAAGACACCUUAACUCCACCAUCCAUUACUGACUGGGAAAAAUCUCAGCGUCAGUCAGGGUUUGGGCCAUAGAUGAGUUAGUCCAACAUGACAGAAUGAACUAUGGAGGUUAACACGAAGGUCAACAUUUUACACUGUAGAUUCAUUGCAUAAAUGCUGUUUGAUAAGAAAAUACAAAAUAUUUAUCCAUGCACAGUCAUGAGUCUACAUAUUCAUACAUUUUGACUUAUUUCAGUUUUACUGAUUGAGUGACUUAGAGGGUUCUCCUUCAUAGAUCAUGUUUUGGGGAACACCUUGUCAGAAGCUUGAAUUUAUGUCAGCCUUGCAUGAAUGGCACCAGUAGGGGCCCAGACCCUCACAGUAUACUGUCAAAGGGGCUGCCGUAGCAUCAGUAAUAAUUCAAAGAACAUUUUCAUUUCACUCAGAAGCUUGUUGACUACCGGUACCUCAGUGUGCAAAGCCAAACAGUCCACAGAGGCUUGACCCCAACCAUACGGUUUGUCUGCCAGCUUGCGGAAAGUCGGCUAGUGCUGCUGUGAAGAAGCAGCACUUUUACACCGAUUUAGCAAGUAGUAAAACUUCAUAAAGCAGCAAUACCUUAAACCACGGUAGCUAAGAAGACAUUGGUUUGCAGAGGUUUUUCCAAGUCCAACUCCACCACAGUGGCAAUUAACGCCGUGCAGGUCCUCGACUCACAGGGAGAUAUUUCACCCCUAGCUAGAGAAGUGGUGAGCUUCGUACCUGUGUGGCUAACUUUAAAUGCACAUGAGCUAGUUUUAUCAACACCACUCAGCAAUGCCAGGGAACUAUCAACCAAGUCUCUGCAUGAAAAAGUAUUUGGAAGCUGGUGUGCAGGCUCGCCCUCAAUCUCCCAUUGUUGCUUGAUGGUGUUGACCUCAUAGAACCUUAUAAAUAAAACAAUUUCACACAGAGAAGAUAUUUGGCACUCUUUCUUCCUUUCAUACUGGCUUCAGGGCUGAAAAACAGCGGGCCAACAUCCAUUGGUGAGUCAUUACAUAAAAGGCUCACACAGAAAAAUUACCCAGUGUCAGGCCGCUGACUCCACCAUGGAGCCUUCACAUUGUUUAGGAGCCAUUUCUUCUUAUUAUUUUGAAUGUGUGAAAGAAGUUACACACCAGCUCCAUCGGCCAUAGAAUUUGGCUAUUUGACAUUUUGAAGAUGAAUUUGCUUAAUGGAAACACGGCAAUUCAGGAAAAAAACUCUCGUUCUUCAAUAAAAAGUUUUGGCUCUAGGAUGAGGUGGUUUUUCUAGCAAUAUUGAUAUUGGUUCAUGUUGCACCACACGAGUCACAUGAUCGACAACCGGAUGUUGCCACUGGCGCAAACCAUGAAGAAGAAAACGACAGGAAGUGGUCGGAGGAUUAUGGUGCAGUGUGUUGUUUCUUUUAAUGACUUGGUGCGUGAACAAAAUUAUUCAUAUGAGAUUUGAAUUGUGUUUCUCAUUCAAUGGAAACACGGUAAUUGCGGGAUUUUAUUUUAUUUUUUUUACAUUAGCGGAAUAUUGACAAAGUUUCAUACACAUUUGUAAUGGAUACAAAGCUAGUCAUGCUAAUCGGAAGAGUGGCGUUAGUUCCUCUUAAGUGAUCUGGGUAAUAAUGUGAUAUUAGUUGAAUUCAUUUCUUGCAGAUGUUUCAGCUUCAAGACUUUUUGCAUCUAAAGACUGAAUGUUUUGGGGGGGGUUUGAAAAUGUUGUCCAUUUUGUUCUUGCAGGACAGCAACGAACAUCACUUUUUAAGUCAAAUAUUAUCAGUUGGAUUCAGGACACCAUAAAGGUAAUUUCUGCAGCGCUAAUUUCAUUAGACAGACAUGCUAACAAUGGCUCUUGUGCCAAACGCAAGCAAACAGCAUGGUUGAUAUUAGAAGAAAGUACUUCGUCAGAACCUUAACUGGCCAACAAAACUGAUGACACACACAACUGUGAAAAUUGUAUAGAACAGUUUAUUAAAUUCAGACUUAUAAGAAGUCGUAUUCCAAUGCGCUCCAUGGCAUGAAGCGCUCAGUGUAACGCCAACCCACAAAGGAUUGAUCCGCCCACGAAACAUAAAUAAACCAAAUCGACAUAUUUACAGUUCAACAUGGACAGAUGGAGAAAUGGGAUUGGUGCACAGAGACCAAAGCGUCUGCGUGUGCAGGCAGAGGCUCGAGACGCGCAGUGGAAUUGGUUUCCAUUCGAACAAUUUAUCCGAGAAAACUACUCGGGUUUAUGGAAAACAAACGAGGACGGAAAACUUAGGAUGGGAUCACAUUUUCUGGGUAUGACUGUUAAUCCACCAAUCAGCAAUGCUGCAGUCAGUAUACAAAGAUGAUGCGGUAUUUUACUAAUGUAGUCGAAUACAGUUGUGAAGGUUUGUCCCGUUAUCCAACAUGUAUUUGGAGCAAAAUUCAUUCUGGAAACAAAAACUCCUGAGGAAUGAUUGUUCCAAACCCUCUCGUGAAAUAUAAACCAGUAAUCAAAGAGAAAAAUUGCAACAAUAUUUCUAUUUUUUUUUAAAAAAUGUCAGAAAAGGAUUAUAGUAACAUACAAAAACAACACCAGGAGGGUUUGGUUUUGACGAGGCGAAAUCACUUAAAAUCCACCCAGCUUCCACUUUUAACAGGGUGGGCCUUCUUUAAAUUUGGGAACAGUGAUAAUUUUACAACUCUGAAUCAUCGUGUGUAAACUGACCAGAUGAACGAACAAAAAACCAUCAGUUUGACUUCCUCCGUCUGACACAGUCAAGAAUAACGUGAUCUAAAAACCCUGCAGAAUGAUAAUAAUAAUAAAAACUGCACUCAUUGUGAAAAAAGAGGUGUUUAGAAAAGUACAAUCAUAGAAAGCACAACCUACAGCUAACAGUUUGUGUGUAGUUCCAAAAAUCAGGUCAUGUGACUCUUCCAGCGCAUUAAAACAAAGGCCAUGUGGAUUACACAACCGUCAUCAGGUCCAGGUCCCCCACAGACACAGCAGAGGGGAUAAAACAGUACCAACCAACUCUUUUUAUGGAAAUGCUGUAUUGUUGCGACACAGGGAAGCUGCAGAACUCAACUUCUGUUUUUGUGUGUGUGUUUUUUUUGCAGCGAUGCACCGAUCUGAGCACAGAUUUAUUCAGGUUUCUUUUUACGCCAUUUAUUAAAUGCAUCAAAAGUGCAAAGAUUACACUACUUUAGGUUUGUAAAUGCAUCAACUAACAUUUAUCCUCAUUUUCAAAGUGCAAUAUGAAAAAUUAAUCAAAAUCGAAUGAAGGUCAUAAACAUACGCUUCAAUUAAUAAAUGGGGACUAUCCUUCAUUUUCUGUUGAAUUUAAACUCCAUUACUUUGCCCUAUAUUUUAUAUCAGGUCAGUUUUCAAUCUUUAUUGAAAGUAACGGAUCAAAAGCAUUUUAGCCACACGUCAGUAAAAAUGACUAUCAUGAUGCUAGUUGUUGUUAGCCCAAAGUUAGUUGUUUUAAAGUUUGAUUUAAAACAAUUAACUCCACUAUUUCCCCCCAUAUUUUAUAUCAGGUCAGUGUUCAAUCUGUAUGAACAUCAAAUAUUACAUUUCGGAAAGACAUUGCAGCCAAGUGUGGAAUUCAAGUUGGACAUCAGUUGGAGUUGCUAAUUGUCAUGAUGCUAGCUAUAGUUAGCCCCUAUACGCUAAUGAUGUAUUUUUCUGUUAGAUUUAAAACAACCACCUCUGUUGUUUUCUCGUGUAUGUUAUAUCUGAUCAGUGCUCAGUCUAUAUUGAAAGUAAAAAAGAUCAGAUUUAGGAAGGACGUUAAAGCUAAGUGUGGCAUGUGCAACUACAGCUAGCUACGCAGGCUAGCUGUAGAUAGCUGUAAAUGCUAAUAAUGUAUUUUUCCUCCAUUUGAUGCACUUAAACAGUACAGGUACAUGCUUACAAGUUGUUCAAAUUUAUAGUAAAUAUGCUAUGAGCUUAAUGAGAUCCAAAAAUUCAUGUGGUCUUCAUCAGAAGGUUUUAUUUGGAUUUUAGGCUGAGUUAUUGUUGUAUUUUUGACUGUGAACUUGGAAAAUCUGAUUUUGGAAUACAAAGUGUACCCAUCAGCAGCUCCUACACAUCAGACCUUUUCAAAAUGGGGAUUGGUUGGUCAGACUUUUUUGUUCCAGCGGGCAAAUUUAAAAGGUGGGUACAUGUUGACUUCAUUUUGGCAGGCCACUAUUUUCACAGCUGAAAACGUUCGCUACAAAACAGGCUAAACAAAAGUCAAUGACCAGAGCUCAUUGAAGUCUAGCUCUGAUGUAGCAGCCGAACCUUGAAACGCUCCACCGAUACUGGAAAUGACAAACCUUAGGUCUUCUUCACACAGUAACAACAUCCACACUGAGAACUGUUAUCACUAGCUGACAAUUCUUGUGUAUGGUGUGUUCACACAUCGGAAGAAUACCAGAUGUUUGAGAUUUGUAUUUGCCCGUCGAACUGAAAAUUCUCGGUGCAUCUCUACAAAAAACAAACAAACAAUUUCCUUUAUUACUGUAACCAUAAAAAAGUUUUUGUUUUGUGCGUUUCAGGGGGGGGGAAUCGCCAGCAGAAGGCUGUUGAAUCAUCCAUAAUCAGAGGUGUGUUAUCGGUUGCAGAAAAGUACACUUAGCUGUCUUUCCAAAUGGCACUCCGGGUCCUGCAAGCUUCCCUCUGGUGUUUUUUUUUUUCUUCUCUUUCCAAAGCAAGGCAACGCUCUCCACUUGGUUCCCCAAAAACAUGUGAAAACAAACACUGAGAAUAAUUUCAUAGAGGUGACCACCGUGGUCUCGUCUCCAGGCGGGUGGGUCACACUGUAACAUUCAGCUAUCCAUUAACGGCAAAGAGCGAACCUCCUCUUUGUUUUCGUCUCUCACAGUAUAUCACACUAUCUUACAGGUCAAUAUGAAAAAACAAAAAAAGCCUUUUA